GAGGUGGCAGAUCAAGUGGUUGAGCGCGUGCGUUCAAUGAUGCGCCUGAGUCAAACAUCCACAUGCUUGAUAAUCAACAUGUACGCUCGUGAUUAAAACAUUUUAAAUCCAUCUCAUGGUUCUGGACCGUGCCACAUCAUUGCCGGAGCAAAGCGCCGGUCGUCUUCUCAGGCGACCUUGGUCGGACUUGUCCAUUCAUCACCACAUCAUAAAUGAAAAAGGAGGACAUGAUCUGAAAGAUAAAAUGGCG
rnacentral:lncRNA from 1 species